GAUCCGUUGCAAUUGACAAUAACUAUAGUUAGGUCCACAAUGGCAAAAGCCUCUGGCAGAGAUAAUAUGGUUCCUACUGGGUCCCACUUAGUCUAAAAAAAUCAGCCACCAGAAACAUCCGUGAACUCUCAUUCGCGCAAGAAAAAUCCCCAUCCGCGCUGUUCCUCCGCCCGAUCCCCAAUUCCACCGGCGGCGCUCGUUUGGUUUCCAGGGUGGCCAUGCUAGAUCCCGCAAAUCCAAUCCAUCCCCAACCUCCACCACCCGGCCUAUGACUCAUGGAGAUCCUUCUGGUCAUGGAUUGCCCGUCGCCCGGGGGUACGCCCCUCUAGCACUGGCGCCCUAUCUCCUCUGUGAUUGGAUUCAUGGCGAGCCACGGCAACGACGAAUCGAGGUGGCGGACUGGUGCCACAUCCCUGAACAGGCGCGCACCAUGGCCAACCUUGCUCCUACGGCAGAUCCUUGUGGUGGAAGAGGAUCCUGGGGUCUGCAUCUAUGACGAUGGUACAUGCGAACAAUAGGUAUGGCCGGAGUUACUCCUGCGAUGCUGGACCCAACAAUAGACUCGGGUCACCGGUCCUUCCUUGCGAAGGUUCAGCACCAAGAACUAAACGUGCUGCGUUCACGUCCACCUGCAGAGUUGGUUCCUGUAGACCCACGAUGGGUGCCCAGGCUGAGCGAGGCAGGUCUUCUCACUGUGGCUCGUCUUGCUGAGAGUGCUUUGGUGAAGCUAGACAGGUCUCUACUUUCAGCUCUCGUUGACAGAUGGAGACCUGAGACACACACGUUCCACCUCCCUUGUGGGGAGAUGGCACCGACCCUGCAGGACGUUGCGAUGCUGCUUGGUCUUUCUAUCACCGGAGACGUUGUCGGGCCUCGCGUGGUACCUUCUACGUGGCUGGAGGAUCUUGAGGAACGUUUUGCAAGUGUUGCCACCACGAUUGAUCCUGAAGGUUUCAAUGAGCACCCACAGUCGAAAGGCCCUUCCAAGUCAUGGCUCCUACAGUUUCAGCCGGAUCUGUUGGCAGCCGAUGCUGAUGAGUACAGCGUGACUAGAUCACUCGAGGCAUACCUGCUGUGGUUGUUUGGGUACAUCAUGUUCAACAACUCACACGGCCACUGUGUGGAUAGGGUGCUUCUGCCCUACGCACAGGAGAUCGCCGAUGCAGAUGAGGAUGCCAUACCCUUAUAUAGUUGGGGUACAGCGGUUCUUGUAUGCACAUAUCGUGGACUCUGCAAGGCAUCAUGGUAGAAUGAUAGGAAUGCUGUCCUAACGGGGUGCCCAAUUCUGCUACAGCUUUGGUCUUACGAGAGGAUUGCUAUCGGUCGUCCUAUGAUUGACCAGUCACCGUACAAGCUGGAUAUGUCCGGUGACACGGAGGACGACAGACCCACCAUGGGGACUCUCUAGUACUCUCGACCGAAAACAUGGGCACAUGUACAGACCCGGCGGUCUUAUCCUGAGUUUGUUGCCGAAUUUGAUCGAUUGACCCCAGAAGACAUUGUGUGGGAGCCAUACAGUCCUUCGGCUAUAGCCGCACGUGCACCGCUUGGGAUAUCUUCGGUGUGCACACAGGACCAGGGCCUAUGGAUGACUACUGCAGCUUUGGUGUACGACAUUGCAGUUGAGGCCCACUGCCCGGAUAGAGUCAUGAGGCAGUUCGGUCGACGCCAGUCUUUCAUUGUGUCUUCAGCGUUGGAUCGUGUUCAGCGCCAUGAUCAUAGUUUAUAAAGGGCUGUACAUCCUUUCUCGACAAUGUGGGUCACUAGAUUACAACCAUGGGUGGCUGCGUGGGAUGAUGCAGGCGAGCAGUUGGCUGAGGAUACCGGUCCACACACUGAGCCUUCGUUUCGGGCAUACCUGACCUGGUACGAACCGAAGACUCGUUGCCGUUUGACUUAUAUUGACAUGCAUCCACAGCCGCAUGUUGUGACUUCGCAGGAUCGCUAUGGACGAUACAGGGAUGAGGCAUUAGCUGGGUGUUCGAGGCCUGUAGGUUGCUCGAAUUAGAUUGCUCACUGAAUGUAAUGAGGAUUCAUGGCGGGUCUACGAUGAGCAUGCCGGCACAACUCGAGGCCUGGACCACUCAACAUGAUAGAGCCCGAGGCAUCCUUCAGGCCUUUGGUACGCGGACGGAGUACGAGGAUUCCUACGGAUCGUCGCAAGCGUCGACGUCGGUUCCUUGUGGUCCCGUAUGGCAGCAGCCUCCCUUAUACCACCGACAGUACGAAGGGUACGGGUACCCCGGUUCUCAGCCCUAUGGAGGGCCAGGUGCCUCGCAAGGGCUCCAUUUCAAGAAACCCAAUUUACCUCUAUGCCACCAGCUGAAGGGACUUUAGGAUCACAACAGUUCACCGGAGCGGGGUCAUCUUCGUAACCCCUUAUGCCGCCACCAGGAGGAUAUGAAGGAGUUUCUUCCUAUCCACCACCACCUCCACCUGUAACACAGGGGUGGUCUGAAGACAACGACGCGGCCUCCUUCGACGACUUUACACGGUUGUUUGCUACGCUUGCCCAGGACGAUGAUCCCAGGUUGUAUACACCUGUGGCUUUGUUACGCCGUCCUGCCAGAGACGUUGGGCUACCGGAGCGUCAUAGUUACCCUACAAAUCACGUACACGCACAACGUAAGAGAGGUCGGAAUGGUAGGGGUGGUUAGUUGUUGGCACUUGUUUCUCUAUUGUUAUUAUGGACUGUUUCGACUGUUCGGAUUAUGGUUGUUUAUGAUUGUGGUAGUUUACUUGUCAUUUGUUUCUAUAGAUAUUAUUGAUGUGAACUUGUUA